ACAAGAAGUCAGAGCCCGAUCUAUGGGUGAUGGCGUGCCUUUUGUAGAAUGAACCGGCGAGUUACGUUCCCGUGCAAGGUUAAGGUGAAGAGCUGAAGCCGCAGCGAAAGCGAGUCUGAAUAGGGCGCUUGAGUACGUGGACGUAGACCCGAAACCGGGUGAUCUACCCCUGUCCAGGGUGAAGGUGCGGUAACACGCACUGGAGGCCCGAACCCACGCAUGUUGAAAAAUGCGGGGAUGAGGUGGGGGUAGCG
rnacentral:rRNA from 1 species